AUGACGUCAGCCCGGCGGCCCUCGCGCUGUUGUGCGCUGUUCCCCGGUGGUCGCCAUGGCGACGGCGGAGCCAGGAGGAGGCGUGGCCCCCCGCCACCGCGUUUCCCCCGCCCCGGGAGGCGGAGCCACGCCCCUUAUGCAAAACGGGGCGCGCGAGGACGUCAUGUGCAGCCAAUGGCAGCGCCGCGUGGUGAGGUCACCGCCNCGGCCCGGAGCUGUUUCCUCCUCCCCAGCGCCGGCAGCGCCCCGAGGGCCGCCUCGUGCCUCGGUUUCCCCGGAAUGCGGCUCUUCCCGGAGCACGUUUGGAGCUGCGGGGCCGUCGUUGUGGCACAGGGCGGGGUGGUGGCACCGGGAGGGGUGGGGAACCGUUCCAGCUCCGGUGCGAGCUGGGCCGGGCCGGGCUGUGCCGAUACGGAACGUCCCGGGCCUCGGGGGUUGGCGGGGAGCCCGGCGCGCUGGGGCUGUGCUGGGGGUGGAGGAGGGCUGCAGCGGGCGCGGUGUGCUCCGCGUCCCCACAUCCUCCCAUCCCUGUGCCUCGUGUCCCCACCGCAGCCCCACGUCCCCACAUCCUCAUGCCCAAAUUCCCGUCUCCCCAAGUUCCCAUGUGUUCGUGUUCCCACAUCCCCACAUCGUUGCAUCCUCACAUCCCUACGCCCUCGUGCCCACAGGUCCCCACCGUCCCCCCCCCCCCAAGUCCCCGUAUCCCUGCGUCCUCGUGUCCCUCCAUCUCUAGGNGGCAAAGGCCCGAUCCCGGGCCCGCUGCCCCCGCCCCUCCCUCCCUUUGUGCCCGUGAGUCCCAGCGGGGCCCACGUGCGGCCCCUCCCCCGCCAUGACGUCAGCCCGGCGGCCCUCGCGCUGUUGUGCGCUGUUCCCCGGUGGUCGCCAUGGCGACGGCGGAGCCAGGAGGAGGCGUGGCCCCCCGCCACCGCGUUUCCCCCGCCCCGGGAGGCGGAGCCACGCCCCUUAUGCAAAACGGGGCGCGCGAGGACGUCAUGUGCAGCCAAUGGCAGCGCCGCGUGGUGA
rnacentral:lncRNA from 1 species